UACCCAGACAGUGUGAAUCAGGUGAGUUAACACAACUGUCUGGAAGCCCAGCAUCACCCAGACAGUGUGAAUCAGGUGAGUUAACACAACUGUCUGGAAGCCCAGCAUCACCCAGACAGUGUGAAUCAGGUGAGUUAACUCAACUGUCUUGAAGCCCAGCAUCACCCAGACAGUGUGAAUCAGGUGAGUUAACUCAACUGUCUUGAAGCCCAGCAUCACCCAGACAGUGUGAACCAGGUGAGUUAACACAACUGUCUUGAAGCCCAGCAUCACCCAGACAAUGUGAAUCAGGUGAGUUAACUCGGCUGUCUUGAAGCCCAGCAUCACCCAGACAAGUGUACAUCACGUGAGUUAACUCAACUGUCUUAAAGCCCAGCAUCACCCAGACAAGUGUACAUCAGGUGAGUUAACACAACUGUUUUGAA
rnacentral:lncRNA from 1 species